AUUGAACGCUGGCGGCAGGCCUAACACAUGCAAGUCGAGCGAGCGGCGGACGGGUGAGUAAUGUAUGGGGACUGCCCGAUAGAGGGGGGUAAAUACUGGAAACGCUAGCGAAUAUCCCACACUAUAGGAUUACCCACAGGGGAUUAGCUAGUAGGGGAGGUAAUGGCUCACCUAGGCGACGAUCCCUAGCUGGUCUGAGAGGAUGAUCAGCCACACUGGAACUGAGACACGGCCCAGACUCCUACGGAGGCAGCAGUGGGGAAUAUUGCACAAUGGGCGCAAGCCUGAUACAGCCAUGCCGCGUGUAUGAAGAAGGCCCUAGGGUUGUAAAGUACUUUCAGUCGGGAGGCGUUACCGGCAGAAGAAGCACCGGCUAACUCCGUGCCAGCAGCCGCGGUAAUUC
rnacentral:rRNA from 1 species